rnacentral:rRNA from 1 species
UACAGAGGUCUCAAGCGUUGUUCGGAUUCAUUGGGCGUAAAGAGCUCGUAGGCGGCCUGUCGCGUCGACCGUGAAAACCCGCAGCUCAACUGCGGGCUUGCGGUCGAUACGGGCAGGCUGGAGUUCGGUAGGGGAGACUGGAAUUCCUGGUGUAGCGGUGAAAUGCGCAGAUAUCAGGAGGAACACCGGUGGCGAAGGCGGGUCUCUGGGCCGAUACUGACGCUGAGGAGCGAAAGCGUGGGGAGCGAACAGG